UUAAUUCCAAAAUAACAUUUAUUCCAAAAAUUUAAUAUCUACUGAUGAGAUAAUAAAAUCAAAAAUUGAACCAAGCUAAAGCUAAUAAUACCAAACAGGAUACUCAUAGCGUUUGGGAGCAGUCCAAGUAGUACUUAUACAUAGAUAUUUACAAGCAGAAUUAAUGCUAAUGAAUGAACUAAAUGACUAUGACCACAACUAGACUAAUUCAUCAGCUUCCAAUAAGCAAGGAGGUGACAGGAGUUCCUGGGGUUAUAACUAUGCUAUGUGGAUACCUUCUGCUGAACACUACUAUAUUAUUCUACUAGAUUUAAACAUUCGAACAAAAACUGUACGAAACAUGGAAUUAACAAACAUCUAUCAUUUACUAUACAACAGGUUUUAAUCCAUUAGAGCCUUCAAGUUUGUAAUUCACCUCGUACGAGAUCAAGAGAUACCUAGAGUGUGGGACAAAAUCAGAAAAUGGAUAGUCAGCUAGGCAGCAGUGUAGUAACAGAUGCAGUUUCAACAGAGAGUCAUCAAUUUCAAGUCAAUAACCCAGAAAAUAAGGAUUGGAUGCAAUAGACUCAAAAAUAACUUCAAUCAACCCUAUAACUCAGCUGAAUUUUGAAAACCAGGCUUUUGAUGAACUAAUUCAAUUGGAAAAUAACCACAUGCACUAUCGAAAACCCCAACUACUGGAACACAAGAAAUAUUCAAGCCAUUUUUUGACUCUAGAUAAGCUAAAGAUUAAACUAAGAGCUUGGAACUUGGAAAAUCCCCUAAGGUUCAAUGGAAUAGUGAUGCUUUGAAAUUUUAGUCGCCUCAAUUGUUCAAAACUUUUCAGUGUGCUUUUUCUUAUGCUUUUAAUCUUUCAAAAUCUCUCAAAAACCAGCCUAGAAAGGCUUGGAAUGCCUUUAUAGGCAAAUAUAAGGGCAACCUUCAGAUCUUUUAUUUCUUUGAGGUCCCUCAAUUUUUAACUUGUUAACCAUGUUUUAGCAUUACAAUGGACAGGGGAACCCCUAAUAGAAAGUUCGAUUAUUGUUAUGCUAUGAUAUUCUAAGGUUUUAUUCCCUAAUUUGCCCUUUCAGUCGCUGGGUAUUUCAAUUUUACCCAUUGUCUUGAUUUUAAACUACUUCUUUAGUUAACUGUUACUGCAUUUCACUUUUGAACCUAAGUAAAGUUUCAAGCAAACUCACAAAUUUAGCUUAAAGUUAGGAUUAGCUAAUGAUGAUUAGUCGAGUCUGUGAGCAAACCAUACAACCAAACCUAGCAUAGGCUCGUGAAUCAACAGAGAAUUCAACUGUAAAAGACAAAAACAACUCGAAUCAAAAUACAUUUAAACUCAUUAACUUAAUAUGAAAGCUUGAAUCAACAAAUUAAAGCUAACAAAAUUUGAAUCUAACUUUGAACUCAGACAUUAAGCAAAUGAGACUGAUGCAACUUCGAUUUAAAACAAUUUAGACUUAAUUUAACAAAAAUAGGUGAGGCGAAGAAAAUUAGCAAAGGAAUUUAGAAAACUUAGCUUAAUUCUUUUGACUAGAACACUGGGAAUCUUCGCGCAUCAUUUGUAUGGUUAAGACAACCCUAGAUUUGGAGUUGGAGGAAUUAUGGGGACAUUCGAGGCAAUUGGCUAUGGUUUUGAAGUGAAAGAGGUAAGGAGACUAAGUGGUAUUAUUUUUGGGUCGUUUUGGCGGUGGUGAGAUUCUAUCCGGGUUCUUGAUUCGAUAUUUUAGAAGUUUGGCGUAUAUUCGAGGGCUGGGACCUGUGGAUUUGGAUUGAGGGGGGUCCGGUGGCUAUGGGGUGUUAGUUUGGGGUCGUUUGUCAUCGCCGAUGCCGUACACGGUGGAGCAGCUGACGUUUCGAACGAAUAUUCGACAAGAUUGUCUAUGAUUUGAGGGCUCGUAUUGGUAGAUUUGGAAAGGGGAAGACUAGGGAGUGAUUAGUGUUAUUUUGGUGGCCAUUGGACUACCGCCGCCAGCGAAGGUGAUUUUCGGCCGGCGAUUUGCGGCGGAGGGUAGUGGUUUAGGUUUGGGUUUCUGAAUGGUUAGAGAUGGUGAGAUGGGGGGAGGGUAGGGUAUCUUAGGAGAGUUAUAUACUCCAAACCUUGUUCGUUGCGGACUCUUAGAUUAAUGAGAUCCAACGGUCAUGAUCAUGGGGAUGCGAAACGGGGUCGUUUUGGGCAGUAACGGAUUGGACCGGGUUGUGAAGUUGUAUUUGGGUAGUUUGGGCUGGUUCAAGGGUGCCAUUGUGCUCGGAUUUUACUUAACAGUGGCCCAAACAUAGGUUUUUAAUAAGACACCUAUUUUCUUAUAAUUUUCUUCAUUUUGCUCUUCUUUUCAUUUUUGAUUUUCUUAAAUACAAAAAAUUAAAAAUAAGAAAGAACUGAUUUUACUCUAAAAUUAAACUAAUUAAUUUUCAAAAUUAACUAAAUCCUAACUUAAAAUGAAAUUAAGGGAAAAUUAAAUAAAAAGUAAAAAUGCAAAAAGAACUAAGUUUUGUUAUUUUCUUCCGAUUUUUUAAUGUUAACUAACUAAUAACCUAAAAUAUUAAAAAUGGGAUCCUAAAUACAAAUGUGCUAUUUUUGUAUUUUUUAUGAAUUAUAUCAAUUAAAAUGCACACAAAAUGCUGUGAGCACGUGAUUUUUGCGUUGUAUGAAAUAUUCCCAUAGAAUUCUUAAAAUUAGGAUUUUUUUCUUUUAUUACUUGAAUUUUUAGGGAAUUAAUUGUAUGAUUUUGUGCUUGUUUGUAUUUUUGUGCAUUGUCAAUUGAUAUAAUUCAUAAAAAAUGUAAAAAUACCACAUUUGCAUUUAGGAUCCAAUCUUACAUUUUUCUUAGGUUUAUUAGGUAAUUGACAUUGCAAAAAUAAGAGAAAAUAGCAAAAAUUAGCUCUUACUUUUAAUUCUCGGAAUUAUCAUCGUUUUCUUUUAAAAAUUAGAAUUUAAUUAAUUUUUAGAAAAAAAGUAAUUAUCUUAGUUUAUAUUGGAAUCUAGUCUUUUUAUUUUAAUUUUGUAUUAAACAAAAAUAAAAACAAAAAAAGAGAAUUAUUUAAAUCAAAAGAGAAAAAGAAGAAACAAAUAAAAGGAAAUUGAAAUGGUAGAAAGAAGACUUAGGCUACUGUAAUUUGGGGUCAAAUUUUAGGCCAGCCCAAACGAACCCUUUCCAAUCCGUCCCCCAGUCCAAGCCCAAAUACCUUUUUACCCGGUUCAAUCCGCCGGUUCCUAGACCAUUCAAACGACGUACUUGCUAAUACUACGUUGUUUGAGAUCUUCAGGCUUUGAUCAAUCUCAUCUGUCUUUUUGUUAUCAUCUAACGACCCUUAUUAGUUCAAAGCAUUAAAUUAAAAUUGUCUAAAGAAAAUCCUUAAGACAAACUCCUCUCUUCCUCAUACCUGUUGUCUCUCGCCGGCUCCGCCUUACGCCGCCACCAGAAAUCGCCUGGCGGGGCUCGUUCUCUAAUCCCGCCUAAAUUUACACCCUCGAAUCCUCUCCUCCUCCUCCUCAUUCCAACGUCCCAAAUACCUGCCUUCUAAUCCUAGCCCAACUCGUCGAAUACCAAAACAGUGCGCGACGCCACCACCCAAACACUACCAAAAUUAACACCAUAGGUCCUCGUAGUCAUCCUUACCAUAAAUCAACCAUCAUCACCCUUCAAUUGAUACCUAAACCCUUUCGAAUAUCGAUUCAUAAGGGACAACCAAAAUCCCAAUGCCUCUGAAUUACUUCAAACAACAUCGAUGACCCCCUGAUCUUCCCUGACUCCGAAUAUUCAUCCAUAGUCCCUCGAAUGCCCCCGUAACUGCCCAAAUCUCGAUCGAGGGUUUUUAGAGCUUUCAACACAAUGCAUGAAGGACCACUAUUCAAAAUUCAAGGUUCAAAGUCGAACUCUAAGCUAAGUAUCCUUUUUGCUCUCCAAUUUUCUUCUCCUUCAUAUCAUUUCUGUACAUUUGGUUGUUGGUGUUUGAUUAUGGGUUUUAGGUUACUUUUUAUUUUUGUUUUAAUAAAGUGUCGUAGUCGUUUUUGUUAAUUAGGCUUUCAUGUUAAAUUCUGAUGGGUUCAUAAGUUGAAUAACUUUUCCAGUCUUCUUGGUUUAGAAUUGAACUUCAUGACUUUGGGUCAAGUUAUAAAGUCUGUUUGUUGAAUUGCGACUAGUUUGAAUCAAUUUCCUUUUGUGCUUAAUCAAUUUUACAUGUAUUUAUUGCCUGCUUAUCUCCUUAUGGUUUUAGGUUUGAGAAUACUAAUUAUAGCAUGUUCCUUUUGUUUAAAUUGGUUUUCUCAGAUUAAUGAUCCAUAGUAGUAGCUUCAAUUUGGGUUUGGGUUUCAUGUAAUAGGUUCAGAAUCAAUUUGGUUUGUGUUUGAGUUAUUUCAGCCUAGGGUCGUAGCCGUUUGGGCCAUUUGGUUUAAUUUCAGGAGGUUGGGUCAUUAAAAUAAUUUUCAAAAGUCUUGGGGGUAGUUUAGGAACAGUAGCUUAAGGAAUAAUUAGUGUAACUAAUCUAAAAGCUUCUAGGUUGAGGUUUGAAUAGUAAUUUGUAAUUUUUGGUACCAUCAUUGGAUAACAAGUCAUGAAUUCAGGGACUAAUUGGAAAAAAUGAAAAAAACUAAAAGGACUAAGUGUAAAAAAGAGAGCUGAAUUUUGCCCUAGUUUACUUGCCUAUAAAGGCAUAUGUUUCUUGGCUAAAAAGGUACGAAAAACCUUCUAGAAAAAAUCCUUCUGAAUUAGUCACAAGUGCAAGAGAAAAAAUACAUAAUAGACGAUCUGAUUUUAGGGUAAUCUUCUGAAAGUUUGAAAACACAAAAGUAGGAAGAAAAUAAUAUUCUAUUAGCAUCAACUGCUCUUUGAAACUUGUCCAGUUCAAUUCCAGAUUUCAAAAAUGCAAAAAUGAUUUAAGUUGGAAUCAUUUGAAUAUAUUUAGGCAUGCUUGGAUCCUGGUUUAUUUGAGAAAAUUACUUUGUUUUUCUUCUAGGUUUCGAGCUUGGUUUCAAUGUUACAUCUGUUGGUGUGCAUUUGGUGUUGUUAUUGUUUCUUAUUUACAUACUCAUUUGUGUUUAUAUGCUUUAAAAGGUACACAUCGGGUAAUCUCCAAGUUAUGGACAAGAUUUGAAUAGCGGCAUUGCUUUAUUUUUGUUAAUUGUCAUAUUAGAAUUCCUGUAAUUUUGUGAAAUUCAAUAGACUUUUUUGUAACUAAGACUGGACUGUUCCGAACUAUUUGUUUUUUAUUGGACUGUUGAUAUUCAUUAGUUUAACAAAAAUUUGUUUGCCGAUUAGUUGAGCAAUGUCGAAACUGACUCUAGAUCCUCAUGUGUAGCUAAUAAUUGAACACUUGAACAAGUAUGAGUGUUCCACAAAAGCAGGCGGUGGUAUGAAUGGAUUUACAUUUGGCAAGUUACUAUUUAAAAAGUUGAAUUUGACUUGGGUUGUAUAUUCAUAAGUGUAAAAUCAGGUUGUGAGAUGUUUGACAUUCUAUUUGAUGAUAUUUUUUCUUCUAAUCAUGAUAAGUAUUGAAGUGGUAAUCUGAUUCACUUUAAUUCCCAGAAACAAACAUUUAUGGCCAUGAUAUAGAAAACAGGAAGAUUGCUUAAGUAAUUCGAGUGCUAAAUUAUCUUGCCCAGCGGAAUUGCGAUUAGAGGUUGUAUAGAUUAUGCAUUGAAUUUGAAAUCAAAUAUCCCUAACUCAUGAUUAUUGCUAAUUCCUGGUCAAAUGUUAGUAUAGUGUGUUUAAGAGGAAUCUGAAUUUUAAAAUACCCACCGAGUUAAAUUUUGAUUGCUUAGUUAAUCUGAGCUACGAGUUUGAAAUGAAUCAUAGUUGGAUUAUGCCCCAUGUCGUACUGGGCUCAACCACAAGGCCCAAACAAUCACAUUCAGCUGGAGCACCAUGAGCAACCCAAGAUUUGGGAGACAUUUUACAAACCAUAGUGAAUUUUAAUGCUUUAAAAUUGAUUCCGAACCCCAAGAAUGUUUAAGGGUUUAAUUCAUAAUUUGAAAUAAUAUCGAGUUUAAGCUAUUCAAGUUAGGUAGCAGAUUCAAAUUAAAAGGUUCCUCCAUUUUGUUUGAAUUCAGACUUGAAUUUGAAGCCCGAAUUCAUAAUAUCAAUAAAUUAGGCCCUAUGAGAGAUAAAUUCAAUAGAAAAAAAUAGUUUGCUUUAGGUUGGCCUUCUUACAAUAGAAAUGAGGUGUAAUGUGCCAAAUAAAACUCACAAAUCGUGCGACCCUCUUUAAAUAUUAAAAUACGUAGAAAUUGGGGCGAGCCGCUUAGCGAAUUUCCACGGCCUCCCGCAAACUUAGGCGCACUUUUUAAUAAUUUUUCCUUCCUAAAUUAGUGUGUGCAUUUCAUAUGACCCGAAUCCAAAUCCCAAAAUAUUGAAUAAAAUAUGUCGAGGAUCCAGGUGCAUUUUAUGUGACGUGAUCCAGAAACAAGUUUUAAACUACGUUCAAUUUCCUAAAAAUUAUUAAUUCAAAGUGGUAAAUAAUCCUAAAAAUGACACUAUUGGAUGGCAUGUAUUAAAAUCAAUUUUUUAGCCAAAUAUAAACGUUUAAGCGACCGUGCUAGAACCACAGAUCCGAGGGUGCCUAACACUUUCCCUCGGAUCAACAUAAUUCCUUACUUUGAAUUCCUGGUUCGCAAACUUCAUUUGGUAAGUCAAAAAAUUUCCUCGAUUUGGGAUUCAAAACAAACCGGUGACUUGGGACACCAAAAGCUAAGCCUAUCCUAUGUGGGGACUCUAAAUAAAUAAAUAAUUCUAUUUUGAAAAGUGUCACUUAAAUUAGAAAAACUCCCAUAUACAUUUUAUCCUUGGGGUAGGUGUGUAAAAAUGGAGGUGUGACAGCUCUGGCGACUAUGAUGGGGAUGGAACCCGAAAUCUCUGGUUUAGGGUUCAAGAAUUCGAGCUUAGAAUAACUGUUAUAUUUGGCUCUUAUGAUUUACCUACAUGUUCUAUGCUAUAUGUGCUAAAUGUUUUAUCGCUUUGAUAUUGGAUGAAUUGUAUAUAUAAACUGUUACGAAACCCUUCCUCUCUCUGAGUCUUCUACAUCAUGGAGAAGGCUGCACUUUGUGUAAUUUCUCUUCUGUUUAGAGUCUUUUAUCAUUUACAACGAGGUUCAAAUAGGCUGCUAAGCCGACGGAGCAUCUGUAUUUCUAGUAUGCUGCCCUCCCCCCCCCCCCCCCCCNNNNNNNNNNNNNNNNNNNNNNNNNNNNNNNNNNNNNNNNNNNNNNNNNNNNNNNNNNNNNNNNNNNNNNNNNNNNNNNNNNNNNNNNNNNNNNNNNNNNNNNNNNNNNNNNNNNNNNNNNNNNNNNNNNNNNNNNNNNNNNNNNNNNNNNNNNNNNNNNNNNNNNNNNNNNNNNNNNNNNNNNNNNNNNNNNNNNNNNNNNNNNNNNNNNNNNNNNNNNNNNNNNNNNNNNNNNNNNNNNNNNNNNNNNNNNNNNNNNNNNNNNNNNNNNNNNNNNNNNNNNNNNNNNNNNNNNNNNNNNNNNNNNNNNNNNNNNNNNNNNNNNNNNNNNNNNNNNNNNNNNNNNNNNNNNNNNNNNNNNNNNNNNNNNNNNNNNNNNNNNNNNNNNAACCUAGUAUAACAAAACCUCAUGUCGGAUCCCUAGUAGGAACAUUUGUUUUCAUCACGUGCAUUUGACUUAGGGGACUCAACACAGGGGUUAAGUCCGUCUAGGACAAGUGACUUGAAAUGAAAAGGCCAUCCCGAUGCAUCUUACAUGCUACUUGUGCAUUUAUUGCUUUUAUUUUGCAUGUUGACCGGCUUGCAAAUAAGGAGAGAAAAUUGAGAAAAUAGCAGUGGUAGGGCUAGAUGAGAGUAGCCACUUGUUUCGGAAAGUCAAUGUUCAAAUAGUACCGAAAUGUUGCCGGAUUUUUGAAAAAAAGAAAGAAAAAAAAGAGACAAGAAAAAAAUGAGUCUUUUUAACAAAUUUUGUUUUGGCAUAACAUUUUGCCCGAACUACGCUGGUUUGAUUCUCACCAAGCAUGAGAUACGUAGGCAACCACUCAUCGGGUCCAACCACCCUUUUUCAAAAAAAUUGCCAAACAAUGUCAAAGUUUUAAUUGUCGUUAUAAAUAAAUCGGGUGAUGUCGUUCUUGUUAAGACAAACUGAAUGUCCCCAAAAAGACGUCGGAAGGCUUUUUUGCAAGGAUAGCCACCCUAAGUCAUUUUUAAAUGGUUUGUGGGCACAACCUUAAAAUCUUUUUUCCAGAUGUGCUGAAAGGCCGUAUCAGCAAAACCAUGUCCUUUCUUUCCUAAAUGCAGAAAUUUUUGCAAAAAUAACCAUUUUUAUCUUCUGGGUCAAAAUAAAUCAAUAAAUACCAUUUAAAUAAAUGUGCACGAUGAAUACCACUGACAUCGAACCCUUCUCAGUCCUGAGUGAGAUCCCUUUAAAGCUCCACAUGUGGUGGAAUGACUUGGGGAAAGGUAGCAGAAAAACUGUGGUCAAGAUUUUGGGUGGUCUCGUUGGAUUGUUAAACAUCAAACCAAGAACAGAUACUAUUGAAUCACCGAUACCAUUCUGGGUACCAACUCGUAGUGUAUUCCGAUUCUCAGACUUUGAGCUUACACCCACGCUAGAGAAGAUUACGGGAUAUAUAGGUCUCAACUGAAACCUCAGGAGUAGAUAUCCAUUGGCACCGAGACCGGUAACCAUCCGAAGAUUUUUGGACUUGUUGAGCAUUCGUCGGGACAUUCAAGAUAAGCAUCUAUCGAAGGGUGUUGCACCCUUUAUUUCUUAAACCACCGAUAUGGAAAACAAAAAGGUUUUAAGGAGCCCAAUACUGGUUUGACACAUGCCGGAAACAAAGAUAAAUAGGAGGCCCGGCGGGGAUCGGCAUUCAUGGUAGCUUUUCUAGGAAUCGUGGUUUGUCUAAGAAAGACAGUCAUAUAGACAUUGGCCUUGUAGGAAUGUUGGAUGUUGCCAUAAAGAAUCCUACUAGCACAGUGGUUCCUUUGAUUCUAGCAGAAAUUUAUCGAGCCUUAACCAUGUGCAGAGACGGUAUGCAAUUCUUUCAGGGUUGCAAUCUUUUGUUACAAUUGUGGAUCCAAGAGCACCUUUGCCACCGAACUUGGUAUAUGAACUAUGGUUUGACCGGGUUGAGUUGCAUUAUAGAAUUUGAGGCCCAGGUAACAGGUAUUGAAUUCCCUGAGGGCACUGAGGUUUGGUUGUGAUGCUUGAGAUCUGUGACUGUGGAUAAAAUUGAAUGGACUUUUGGAUGGCUUCCCUUUACUUUGGUUGUAUACAAAUCAGCAGAAGUGCCUUAUAUUCUUUUGAUAGGCGUUCAGAGAAUCCAAACGUACGCUCCUUACAGAGUCUUGUGACAGCUAGGAAGAUUCCAAACCAUACACGGUGAGAAGAUCUCAGUAAACAAGUCAUCGAAUUAGGCCCGGAAGCUGCAUUUCCUGAAGGAAAGAUUUGCCAAAUAUGGAAUGAAUGCAGGUAUCUUGAGUCUAAUACCAUAGUGCGAGAUCGGGCUAAGGGCGAAGUAGACCCCAAAUACUUGGUAUGGUUUGGCAAAAAAUUUCAAAUUCCUGAGAGGCCUGCCAAGAGGCCAUAUGUCCAACACUUCACUGACGGGGCUCAGGUACAACGGUGGUUUGCUAACGAGAAGGAAUACAGGGCCCGAAUAGGAGCAUUGGAAAAACAGUUUCAGGAUCUCCGGUUUGAAAACAACUUGCAAGCCGCGACUGAUGAAGGUGACAAAAAGAAGCUAACCCCAGAGAAUGAAGCACCCAAGGCCCAAAUCCAACAAAUGAAAAUAGAUGCUAAAAACCAAGAAAGAAUCCUGUCCAUUGAGAGACUGAUAAAAGGGCUGAAGAAGCAAGUCAUAGAAUGCCAGGAAGAAUUGGAGAAAUCUGAAGGGAACGUGGCAAAACUUCGAGCACAAUGGACAAAUAAGACAGAGGAAAGACCCCAGUUUGUACAACAAAUGAAAAGGAAUUAUGAGGGAACCAUUGCUAAUAUGAAGAGAAAACUGAACGCCUUUGAAGAUAAGGCAACCCGACAGGACAAAGAAUUUCAGACUGAGAAGGAACAAUGCUAUGGGUUAAUCGCCAACAUGGAGAAGGAAAUAAAACUGUUGCGAUACCAUCACUUCCAUGACUCCCAGGUGUUAAAAGGUCGUAACCAACAAAUAAGCCAACUACUCCAAGAAAAGGGACGGAUCAGGGAAAGUGAACAUGGCAAAACUUCGGGCACAAUGGAAAAAUAAGACUAAGGAAAGAGCCCAGUUUGUACAACAAAUGAAAAGGAAAUAUGAGGGAACCAUUGCUAAUAUGAAGAGAAAAAUGAACACCUUUGAAGAUACAGUAGCCCGACAGGACAAAGAAUUUUAGGCUGAGAGGAAACAAUGCUAUGGGCUAAUUGCCGAAAUGGAGAAGAAAAUAAAAUUGUUGCAAGGCCAUCACUUCCACGACUCCCAGGUGAUAGAAGCUUGUAUCCAACAAAUAAGCCGAAUACUCCAUGAAAAGGGCCGGAUCGGGGAACGAAUCAGAGGCAUUGCAAAUUAUAUUGUCAUGAAAUGUCGGGCCAAUGAACGAAUGGGUCGCACCACUUUCUUUGCUACAGUGUUGAUAUUUGUUCGUCAGGUUAUGAAUGAUUUGGAGCAGUUACAAAUGGGUCUUGCACGUACUCCCGCGGUUAUAUCGAAUGAUGCUCUGUGGCCCCCAGGAUUUGAAGCUUUAAUGACUCUUGACCUUGUUUUAGUCAUCAAGUCUGUAUUUUGUCAUUUCGAUUCUGUUUUGUAAUUUUCCUUUUCAGAAAAACAAUUAGUCUAGCACCUUUAUUUGAAAAUCCCAAAAAAAAUUGUUUUCUUAUUUUUGUAUUUAUUUUCAUGAAGUACGCUCGGUCUGAUUCAUGUGGGGUUAUGAUAUGUAGGCAAUCUUCAUAGGAUUCGACUGUAACAGUAAAAUCGAAAAGGCGAGAAAAAAGGGGAAAAGAGGAAAAGAAAAGAAAAGAAAAGAAAAACCCUAAGAGAAAAACAAAAGAGGGAAUAAAAUAUAAGAAGAACAAGAGAGGAAAAGAAAAAAAGAGAGAGAAAAGCAAGAAAAACAUAGCGUGGAAAUCUAAAGAAAGAAAAAUGGAAAUGAAAAGCCGGGACGACACAUGCAGCCAUUGAAAACAUGUAGACAUCCGUUUAACUAUAUAGGUACAUCACACCCCAAUGUGUGAUUCCCUAUCUGCUACUUGUCUCAAACUAACCGUUUGUUGCUGUCAAUACCAGCUCAGGAUAGAAAUAGUGGUUGGUUUUUGUUAAGCUGGCAUCACAUAAGUAUUUUACCAGAUCAAAAGGAAGUAGAGAAAUGCCAUCGGAAAUGACCUUGCCAGCAAUUCCCAUCUCAUAAAUAGCCCAAUUUCAGGCCUUCCGGUCUCAGAGUCUACAGUAAUCGAGGAAAAUAGGAUCCUAUGCCUUAGGUUCAUGGAGAUGUGUGAUGCAUGGACGAAUGGAAAAGAGCCUACGAGCGCCAUCCUUAGAUUCCCCGAGCUCUUCCCCAGAUCAGGGGGGUACUUCUACUAUUCCCAUUAGUUAUCCAAACAUCCUAUUGGGAAAGCCCACUAUAUCGGCCAAUUUUGUUGGAGCACCUUCUGAGGUCCGCCCCUAGGUGUUCACAUCCGGAACAGUCCCCAAUAUCUUUACGGCUCCCCCAUGUGCGGCUACCACAUAGCCCGUAUUGCCUAGACCCACAUUUGAUCCAUCGGCCUUUACAUUCCAAACACCCACCUACCAAACUGAGCAUCCGCAAUACCCCACCUACACUUAUCCUAAACCACCAUUUGGGUUCAUACCAGCAAAAGAUAAAACUCCUAAAGCUCCUAAACAAGAUGAGAUGACAAAAAGAAUGAGGAGCCUUAAGUAGAGUUUAAAGAAUAUGCAAGGUUUGAGUGGGCAAAAAAGUGUUUCUUACACAAACCUAUACAUGUUCCCUCAUGUGCACCUACCCAUAGGAUUUAAAAUCCCAAAGGUCGAAAAAUAUGAUGAACAUGGCGAUCCAAUCGCUCAUCUAAAGAAAUAUUGCAACCAAUUAUGCGGAGCUAGCGGAAAAAAAGAGUUGUUGAUGGCGUACUUAGGAGAAUGAUUAGUAGGCAUUGCCUCUGAGUGGUAUAUGGACCAAGAUGUCUCACAAUGGCACAUUUGGGAUGGUCUUGCCAGAGAUUUUGUAAGGCAGUUUCAAUAUAACAUCGACAUUGCGCCAGACAGGAACUCCUUGGCAAAUCGUAAAAAGAAGCAUUCAGAGAGUUUCAGAGAAUAUGCUAUUAAGUGGCGUAAACAGGCAUCGAGGGUGAAACCUCAUAUGGAUGAAAUAGAAAUGGUCACUGUUUUCCUUCAGGCCCAGGAAGCAGAACACUUUCAUAAUAUGAUGUUGUCCAUGGGCAAGCCUUUUUCAGAGGAAAUCAAGAUUAGUGAAAUGGUAGAAAUCAGUUUGAAAACGGGAAGGAUUUUGAGUCAGUCGGCCAUCAGAGCAACCUCUCAGGCCAUCGAAGGCGGAUCUAGAGGAGUCACAAGGGGCGAAAAGAAUGAAGAAACCUUGAUGGCAACAUUGGGUAUGAAAAGACAUUAUUCUCCUAGGCCCAUGUUCCCAGGAAGAACCCCUCAACAUUAUUAUCCUCACCAGGACAUGCCUUAUGCUCCUCAAUUAUAUGAGGUUAUGAAUGCUCCACCAUUUGCACGAUCGCAGCAGCAGGACAACAGGAACAAAGCUUCGAGAAACCACCUCCCAUCAAAAUCACUAUAACCCUCACCCUUUUCAAAAUAACUUUCGUCCCCGUGAGCCACGCAGAAGGCAAAAUUUUACGCCAAUCAGGGAGUCCUAUUCCAAUUUAUGCCCAAAACAUGUCAAGUUGGGUCUUCUGCAGCCUGUUCCUCCAAAUUAGAUAAAACCUCGAAUCGCCUUCAUACCAACGGGGUGCCCGGUUUGCCUAUCAUUCGGGGGAUGAAGGGCACGACACAGAAAAUUGUUGGACUUUGAAGCGAGCUGUGGAGGAUUUAAUAGAGCGAAGGAAAAUAGUGUUGAGGGAUGAGAAUGUCCCUAAUAUGACUAACAACCUGUUACCGGCCCACAAUAAUGGAACGGUGAUUGGGAUGAUCUGUGAGGAUAAAGAAUUUGGCCCUGAUUUGAAGGCCAUAGUUGCUAUUGUCGACGUGGAUAGAAAGCCAAGAGCUACCCCCAAGAAAGCUGAAGAGGAAAAGAAGAACAAAACCACACAUCUUGAAACUGAAAAGAAAGAGGCAACACCCGUCAAAGAAGCUGUCCUUUAUGUCCCACGAGGUCGUCGGGAUAAGCAGUUGACUUUGAGUCCCCCAAAGACAUUCGAGUUGAACAUGAUUACUCAGAUGUACGUGCCCAAAGGACUCUAUGUGAUGCGGGGGCCAACUAAUCCACCAAGGCUGAGUGAGCUCGUGGUGGUUGGCCGCGCACCUCAGAGGCCUAUGACGACCCCUACUGCAGUCCCUUAGAAUUAUCAUGAAAAGGUUGUGACAUAUAAAGGCAAAGAAAUCUCUGGAGAAACUCAAGAAAGUUACUCGGUGAAGAGAUACUCUGACUUGGAAGAAGUGAACAACACCAUCAAGAGGAGAUUCUCUCCUAAGAAGCAAGUGUGCGCCGAAGAGGCAUAAGUUUUCUUUCGAAAGAUGAAAAUAGCAGACUAUGAGGUAGUGGACCGUCUUCAGAAAUCCCUUGAACAAGUAUACUUGCUAUCCUUGCUGAUGGAAUCUCCUGAGCACUAAAAGGUACUAGCCAAAACUCUUAAUGAGGCAUACGUGUCAGCAAAAACCUCUCUGGUACAAUUAGAAAGGAUGGCGGAAAGAUUCUUCGCCGUCAAUCAGAUCACAUUCAGUAAAAAUGACUUUCCCCUAGAAGGAGCCGCUCAAAACAAAGCCCUACAUUUAACUGUGAAAUACAAAGGUUAUUAAGUCAAAAGGGUAAUGGUUGACGGAGGCUCUGGGGUUGACAUAUGCCCACUUUCAAAAUUACAACGAAUGGAAAUAGGGAUGGAGAGGAUUCGUCCAAAAAAUGUAUGUGUGCGAGCCUUUGACGGAGUCAAAAGGGACGCAAUCGGAGAGAUUGAACUGGUCUUGACCAUUGGCCCAGUAGAUUUUGAGGUGACCUUUCAAGUUUUAGAUAUGGACACGCCAUACAAUUACCUCCUGGGAAGGCCAUGGAUCAAUGUAGUAGGGGUUGCACCCUCUACUCUGCAUUAUAUGAUAAAAUUUAAAGAUGAGGACCAAGAAAUCGUGGUCUAUGGGGAAGACGAGGAGUCAAUUUAUUGGGAUCCCUCCGUCCCCUGCCUCGAAGCUAGAGAAGGUAGUGACCAUAUAGUCUAUCAGGCCUUUGAAACUGUGGUGGCCGAUCAGCAUGAAGAGGGCAAACCCUGUCCCCAAUCUUUCCUCUCCUAUGCCUUAAUCAUGGUGGCUAGAGAAAUGAUAUGACAUGGAUUCAAAUCGGGGAAGGGACUUGGAAGGUCUUUGUAAGGGAUAGCUAAGACGAUUGCUUUGCGCACUACAGAGAUGUUUCUCGGGCUAGGCUUCCACCCGACGCUAGAGGAUAUAACAUGGGCUAACCGUAGAAAGCAUGGUGGAUGGGCUUUGCCUUAUCCACUUCCACACUUGUAUGAAACAUUCGUAAGGUUAAAGUACAAUGAGGAGGAAGAAGAUGAGGCCUUCACAGCUGAAGAAAUCGAAGAAAUAUGUGGACAGUGAGAAAAUUACUAUAUGAAACCUACAUGGUUCGACUGGGAGAAGGCUCAAGCACCGUUGAGGUGCUAUACAUGGGACAAUACAGCAAGUUGCAAAAUUGGAAGGCUAUGCCAUUUCUAAUUAGGCGGGAAACCCGGUAGUCCUGUCUUGCCAUCCUUUCUGCAUUACGAAUUAUCUCAGGGUGUAACUCGGAUGUUUUGCUUUAGUGAGAAAAUUACUAUAUGAAACCCACAUGGUUCAGCUGGGAGAAGGCUCAAGCACCGCCGAGGUGUUAUUCAUGGGACCAGACGCCAAGUUGCAAAAUUGGAAGGCUACGCCAUUUAUAAUUAGGUGGGCGUCCCGGUAGUCCUGUCUUGCCAUCUUUUUUGCAUCACAAGUUAUCUCAGGGUGUAACUCAGAUGUUUUGCUUUAGUGUUUUGCCCUUUUAAUUUUCCAAAUGUAAACCCUGUUAUCUUACAAUUCCAAAGAAAUGAAAUCAAGAUUUCAUCAUCUCUGUUACUUUAUCCAUUCUGAUUCUUGUUGUUUUUCUUUUAUUCAUUUUUUUUCAGUUCCAAUAAUGCGGCUUUAAAUAACAUGAUAUGCUCGCGGACUUCUUGCCCCGACUCAAACAUGCCGCCUAAUUGUGAAAUAAUGAACCAAUAACCGGAGCACGACGAAGAAGAGGCUUUUAGGGAAAUCAAUCAAGAACAGGAACAUUUCGAAAAUAAACCUAAGCCAAAUUUAAAUAAUACUGAGCCGGUUUACUUGGGUGAUCCUAGCAAAAUCAGGGAAACCAAAAUAAGCAUCAACGCAAAUGAGAAAACCUGGGACGCACUGAGAAAACUCCUGCGUGAAUUCAAAUACGUGUUUUCUUGGCCAUACGAAAAUAUGCUAGGGCUGAGUGUUGAUUUGGUGGUUUAAAAGUUGCCUACUUACCCCGAGUGCCGUCCAAUCCAACAAAAAUAGAGAUAAUUAAAAAUUGAUAUAACAGAUAAGAUCAAAGAAGAAAUCACAAAAAAGUUGGGGGCGGGAGUAAUCCGAGUGGUCCGGUAUACCAAAUGGGUGGCCAAUGUAGUUCCAGUACCAAAGAAAGAUGGGAAAAUCUGAGUGCGUGUGCACUAUAGAGAUUUGAAUAAGGCAAGUCCCAAAGACAAUUUUCCUUUUCCAAUAUCCACAUCCUUGUUGAUAACUACACCAAACACGAGAUACAGUCUUUCAUGGACUGCUACGCAGGAUAUAACCAGGUGUUGAUGGAUAAGGAGGAUACCGAGAAAACUGCCUUUGCCACACCCUGGGGUACUUAUUGCUACAGGGUAAUGCCUUUCGAGUUGAAGAAUGCUGGGCAACGUAUAUGAGAGCCAUGACCAUUAUCUUCCACAACAUGAUGCAUCAGGAAAUAGAAAUAUAUAUAUGGAUGACGUAAUUAUCAAGUCUAAAACUCGGGAUAAUCAUGCGCGGGACCUAUGAAGGUUCUUUGAAAGGCUGCGCAAGUACGAUUUGAAAUUAAACCCAACCAAAUGUGCAUUCAGGGUCCCGUCAGGAGAACUUCUAUGGUUCAUAGUUAGCCGGAGGGGUAUUGAGUUAGAUCCAACAAAGACAAAGUUUAUUUGAUAUCUACCUCCUUCAAAAACAAAGAAGGAUGUAAUGAGCCUGUUGGGGAGAAUGAAUUAUAUUAGUCCAUUCAUCGCUCAGUUGACUUCCACAUGCGAACCCAUAUUCAAAUUUCUAAAGAAAGAUGUAGCAAUCAAAUGGACGGAUGAGUGUCAAGAGGCUUCUGAUAAGAUUAAAGAUUAUCUGUCCAAUCCACUGGCCUUGGUCACUCCAGAACCAGGAACGCCAUUGUUUCUAUACCUGAUAGUCUUGGAGAACUCUUUUGGUUGCAUUCUCGGGCAGCAUGAUAUCACUGGAAAGAAAUAAUAGGCCAUAUACUACCUGAGCAAGAAGAUUACCAGCUACGAGGCCAGAUACACCCUGCUAGAAAGAACCUGUUGUGCCUUAACUUGGGUAGCUCAGAAAUUGAGGCAUUACUUACAAGCCCACUCCACCCACCUCAUUACCUUGCUGGAUUCUAUGAAGUACAUAUUUCAAAAACCAAUGCCCACGGGGAGAUUGGCAAAAUGGAAAAUCCUGCUCACCAAAUUCGACAUAGUCUAUAUCACUCGCACAACAAUGAAGGCCCAGGCGUUAGUGGACUAUUUAGCCGAGAACCCAAUUGAUUAUGAAUACCAACCCCGUAAUACUUACUUCCCGGACGAAGAGGUAAAUUCGGUGGAUGUAAUGUACAAAGACGUCACUGCUUGGAAAAUGUUUUUUGAUGGAGCGGUAAAUGCGAAAUGUGUAGGAAUUGGGGCAAUCCUUAUUUCACCCGCUAGUCAACACCACCCAGCCAUGGCUCAGCUUCGGUUUUUCUGCACAGACAACACAACCGAAUAUGAAGCCCACAUAAUGGGCAUGAAUAUGGCUAUCGACCAAGACGUUGUGGAACAAUUGAUCGUGAGGGAUUCAGAUCUAAUCAUUCGUCAAGCCCAAUGGGAGUGGGAAACGUGAGAUAUCAAACUCAUCCCUUAUUGGCAGUAUGUGGAAGAUCUCAGCAAACAGUGCAAGACACUAAAGUUCAGGUACAUCCCUCACUGUUAAAUGAGCUAGCCGACGCGCUCUCUACUUUGGCCUCGAUGUUGCCUUAUCUAGUAAACGCCUACAUCAAUCCCUUGGAAAUCUAAGUUAGGGAAAGGCCUGGGUAUUGUAAUGCGACCGAGGUAGAACCAAGCAAUCAGCCAUGGUAUCAUGAUAUCAAGAGACUGAAAAAAACACAAGAAUAUCCCGAGAAAGCCACUUGAGAUCAAAAGAGAACCAUCAGACAUCAUGCGAGUGGUUUCUUCUUGAGCGGUGAUAUCUUGUAUAAAAGGACCCCAAAUAUCAAUUUUCUAAGAAGUUUUGAUACCGAGGAUGCCAGAAAGAUUAUGCAUGAAGUACACAUGGGAGUGUGUGGGCCCCAUAUGAACGGGUAUGUGUUGGCAAAGAAAAUACUUCGGGCGGGAUAUUAAUGGAUAACCAUGGAGAAAGACUGCGUUAACUUUGUUCAGAAAUGUCAUCAGUGUCAGGUGCACGGUGAUUUCAUUCAUGCACCACCAACUGAACUGCAUCCUAUGUUAGAAUCUUGGCCAUUUGUUGCUUGGGGCAUGGACGUCAUCGGACCAAUUAAGCCAAAAGCCGCAAAUGGACAUAGAUUCAUAUCGGUUGCUAUUGACUACUUUACGAAGUGGGUUGAAGCCAUCACACUUAAGUUAGUCACCAAGAAAGUUGUGGUAGACUUUGUGCAUUCCAACCUCAUUUUCACAUAUAUGAGGGCCAUGACCACCAACUGAACUGCAUCCUAUGUUAGAAUCUUGGCCAUUUGUUGCUUGGGGCAUGGACGUCAUCGGACCAAUUAAGCCAAAAGCCGCAAAUGGACAUAGAUUCAUAUCGGUUGCUAUUGACUACUUUACGAAGUGGGUUGAAGCCAUCACACUUAAGUUAGUCACCAAGAAAGCUGUGGUGGACUCUGUGCAUUCCAACCACAUUUGCCGUUUCGGCAUCCAUGCAACCAUCAUCACAGAGAAUGCUGCCAACCUGAAUAGUCGUUUGAUGAGAGAAAUAUGCGAACAAUUCAACAUAACACAUAUAAACUCCACCCCCAACCGGCCCAAAGCCAAUGGUUCCAUCAAAGCAGCUAACAAGAACAUUAAAAAGAUUCUGAGAAAAGUGAUUCAAAGCUCCAGACAAUGGCAUGAAAAGUUGCCUUUUGCAUUACUUGGAUAUCACACCAUGAUGCGCAUAUCGGUAAGAGCAACCACAUACUUAUUGGUCUAUGGAACCGAAGAUGUUAUACCUGCAGAGGUAGAUAUCCCUUCACUCAGGAUAAUCGUUGAAGGGGAAAUUGAGGAUAGUGAGUAGGUCAAGACUCGGCUGGAACAAUUGUCAUUAAUUGAUGAAAAUUGAAUGGCCUCAAUUCGUCACGGGUAGUUGUAUCGGCAAAGAAUGACCCGUGCUUAUGAUAAGAAAGUGCGCCCCAGGAAAUUCAACGUUGGACAGCUUGUAUUAAGGCGCAUUCUCCCUCACCAUCAGGAAGCAAAAGGAAAAUUUUCUCCUAACUGGAAAGGCCCAUACAAUAUCAGAAAAAUAUUGCCCAAAGAAGCAUUGUUCCUAGGAGGCAUCGAAGGGGGAAAUCCCGAGGUAGCAGUGAAUGCAGAUGCAGUAGUACAUUAUCAGAAAGAUAUUGCCCAAAUGAGCAUUAUACCUGGGCGACAUCGAAGGAGACGAUACCGAGGCAACAAUGAAUGCAGACGUAGUAAAAAGGUACUACGUCUAGGCUCCCUGCAACAAUAAUUCAAUCCGGUUGAGAUGACGAAGGCUUUUCCUUCCUGCUACCCAAACACUCAAUUUUUUGCAAAUCCUUUUGAGCCGGUUAUGUUACUUUGACCACCCUCUUUGGAACCCGGAAAUGCUAUUCAAACAAAAAAAAUGAAGAAAACAAAAAAAGUAAAAGUAAAAAAAAAGUGAUGAAAAUGAAAACAAAACAAAAAUAGUUUAGGAAAAACUUCCCGAACUACGUUUGACAUGAUUCCAAAGGAUACGUAGGCAGCUUCUCGCUGAGGUUCAGUCACACCAAAACAAAAUCCCCAAAAAUUUUAAAACUGGGGAAAAUGAUAUAAUGGUUCGAUCAUGAACUCGCCAAAAAGGUUCCAAAGUUGUAGUUCCGCCCAAAAUCCUUUCACCAAAGACAUUGUUCAAGUCCUUCCGAUCGAUGGGCAAAGGCAGGGAAGCGAAAAACGUCAUGGUUGGAAUCUAAUACAAUUUAAAUUGAGAGAUAUGAAAUAAGAGAGUCUUAUAGGUAAAAACCUUCGGGCACUAUAAGGUGAUAGUAAGUAGAGAAAUUGAAAAUGAGAAAGUCUUCUUAGUGAAAACUCAUAAAGAGCACUAUCGGGCGACGGUGAGAAGAGAACUUAGAGAGGUCGAUCAGUAAAAACCCUCAAAGGGCAUUGUCGGCCGAGAGAUGAUAUCUCACCAUUACAAGAGUCAUGGCAAAGUUCCCUGAUUUUGAAAUGUGGAAAUGUGGUUCACGAGAAGCUGGAAAUUUUGUGUGAGUCAGGCACCAGUCCGAGAAGCAUGUCAUGUUCAUUUGAAGUCGGCAUGCACCCCCAGAUAAGUCCUUCUCUUUCCCCGAAAUAGAUGCUUCUCUUUAAACUCAUAUGAUUGCUUUCGUAUACUUCUUCCUUGAAUCCUUUUCGGUUUAACUCUGACUCUAUUACUAAUACAAAAGAAAAGGUGGCAGGAUUGGUUUCACAGGGCUCUCCUAGCAAGGGCAAAAGAAAAUACCCAGUCUCAGCAGAUGCAUCUAGCCGAUCCCGACUGGCGAUGAUGGUUGAAACUUCAGAAGAAAAAAGGGUUUGAAAGAAAGAAAAUCGAAUUCAAAUUGCCCAUGAAUGCAAAAUAAAGUUAGAAAGGUCAAGUCUCGGUGGUCUAAUUGUCUCGACAAAGAAAUCACCUCCCCGGCAUAACUCGAGGAUCAUUUUCCUUUAUUAGGGAUAAGCUUGCCCUUCUUUCCAAAUCUCAUCACGCCUUCUAUAGGCGAAACUCGGAGCAAUACCCACUCACCAACCAUAAAUGCCACACAUUAAACCGUGCGGCCUGCAUAACGCUGUUGCCUAGACUGAGUUGAAUGAAGCCUAUCCUGAAUGAUCUUGACCUUGUCCAAGGCCUCAUGAACCAAUUCUGUACCCAACAAGCGAGCCUCUCCCAGCUCAAACCGUCCAUAUAACUAGAUCCUAGCUAAUACCAACGGGCACGCACCCCCAAAAACUAGAACUCAAGAGGCAUGCAAUGAAGAGGAUGAAUCUGGGAAAGGAAAAACACAUAAGGGAACUAUCAAACAAGUCAAACUAGCACAAUAUUUCUAAAACACUAAUCUACAAACAUCUAACAAGAAAGAAUGAAACAUAUAAAAGACUCACAAGGAUCUUAUAUUAAUUAUAGGAACUGUCUGAUAUAUGAAUGUCGUGUAUGUGAGGUAACGAGUGCAUAGACAGACUAUUUGUUGAAAACCCCUGUUUUCAUUAAGCAAAUAUCUGUUUUCCUUUAAUUGAGCAACACUAGCAUAUGUAACUAUCCUGUUUAGUUUAGGAAAGCAUGCGUGUGUGCCUUAAGACUAUCUAAACUCUGCUACAUGUUUUAGUGAAAUUUCCUGUUCUUCCUUAACUCGGAUUGCGCCUAAAUUGUGAUUUUCUUGUUGUAACUGUUAUCUCUGUUAGUUUACUUGCAUAUUUGCUUUGGGACUACAAAGCGGUAUUGCAGUAGAUCCCUCAUGUACUCCAGAUUUACUUUUGGACUACAGAAUGGUAUUCCAGGAGAUUCUCCAGCACUACAUAUUUACUUUGAGACUAUGGAAUUGUAUUCCGGGAGAUGCCCCCGCGCAUUUGUGUUGGGACUACAAAAUGGUAUCCCCCUAUUGUUAUUACUGCGUUCUGAGCUGUUGGUAUUCUAUUCCUGUUAGUUUGCCGUAUUUAGUUUCUACUGUAGUAUUCUUUCUGUCUUAUUUCAUUAUAUUUAUACUAGUAGGGCCCUGACCUGAUCUCGUCACUACUUGACCGGUGUUAUCCUUGGAACUUUACUGUUGUGAUGUACUUAUUCCCUUUCCUGCAUAUAUUUUUCUUGCGCAGAUCCAGGUACUAUCUCUCAGUCUCGAGUCUAGCUGUGUGGUUGCUGCUUCAGGAGAAUUCAAGGUACAUCUGCCCAUAUUCGCAGACCUCGGAGUCCCCUUCUGUCCCCUAUGUUUUCUUCCUUUCUAUAGAAAUGAUGUAUAGAACCGUUACGAAUUCUUAAACGCUUGUGACAUUGUGAUAUUUAAGGUUUUGGGAAAGAUGAUUAUUGUAUAUGUCUAGUGGCACGUUUCUGCUUAUUAACUAUAUCUGUCAGUUGUUAUCCUUGUGUUUCAUUUCAUUUUAGCAAUAUUAAACUUAUCUAAGUGAAGAGACUAGGUGUCGUUACGGCAGUUCACGGAGGGAGAAAUUGGAUUGUGACAUAUAAGGAGUUGGGGGAAGGGUGAGGGAAUGGGGGAAGGGUAAGGAAAGUAGCAUAAAAAAAUAUUUCCCUAAAAAAUAUUUUCUACUCUCUAACCCAACAAUAAAAAAUAUUUUUCGAAAAAAUAUUUUCACUUACCAAACAAACAAGGAAAAAUAAGUGAUAAAAUCACUCAUUUUUCAUAAAAAUAUUUUUUAGGAAAAUAUUUUCCUUCGUAUCAAACACACCUAAUAGCUUUCUUCCUUCAUAACAAUUCCAUUCUUAUCUUGGUAUUGCUGCUCCAACCAAUUAAAUAUUAUUAUUUAUCCUCAAUAUUCACCAUAACCAUUUUUAAUAAGGAUUAUUUUAGAAAAAUAUUUUACUCUCGUCUACUAAACACGAAAAAUAUAUGUUUUAAGAACAAAUUGUUGAUAUUUGAAUUUGAAUUAUGUCAAAAACGAACAAUUCGUGCAGUAAUUUGAAAUGAUGAUUGCAGGUCUCUACUAUUUGGUGUGUGGUAUUCUACUUUGAUACAUCUGUUUAGAUAAAUUAAUAAAAUGAUAGACUACUUAGCUAAAAAUGGGUGUAGAAGCUCAAUGAUCUCAACUUUUCCAACGCUUUUGUUAUUACUAUAUUUGAAAGGGAUAGAAUAGGUACUAUGUUGCUUAGUCUAGUCUUUAUUAUAACAUAGUUUCAACGAUGAAAAAUAAUAUUAUGUUUGUUGCCGGUGUCCAAGAUGAAGAAAUACUCAAGACAAAAAGCAAGGCGGAAGAAAGGAAAAGAAGAUUUUCCCUUUUCAUAAAAGAUCUAUGAAAGAAAGCAAUCCAGGAUAUUCAAGGAAGGAAGAUCCAAAUUAGCAGAAGAUCAUUAUUUAAAUGAUUGCAUUAAUCAUCAAUCCAAUUUUUAAGAGGAGCAACAUGCCAAGCCUAAAAUUCUGCUCGGAUUAUAGAGUUUACUUAGCAUAAGAAUCAAGUGGUGUGUGAAGAAGAAACUCAUCAACACAAGUGUAAUAAGAACAUCAUGGAGCGUUGAAGAUAAACUAUCUAACAAUCGAAGGAACUGGACUAGAAUUCGCAUUGAAUCUGAACCACUAUAAUAAUAUCUUGUGUCAUUAGAUUUUUGAAUCUUUUGUUUUAUACCUAUUAUUUGUUAUACUUGCCACUAAUCUCUAAGUUGACUAACCAAUAAACUAGUCGACUAGUAUUCAAAAAUUUAAAAGGGCAAUAGUUAACCCCCUCCCCAUUUGUAUCUUUAAUUGGUAUCAUAGUAGGUCUUACAUUUUAAGCAUUGCUUAAAAGCUUCUGAGAAAAGAUCAUGUUAAAUAAAAUAAUUGCUGGAGCCUACUUCAAAAAGGAAUAUCGCAGGCUAGGCAUCCUUAUUUCAACGGACAAUACUUUUCACAUUGGAAGGUUCUCAUGAAAAUCUAUGCUAAAUCUUAUAAUGUCAUCAUGUAAUCAAGAAGGGAGAGUAUCCAAUUACAAUAGUCUGGCAUGAAAAUGGUGAUGGAUUGCUUUAAGGGUGUUCGUAACACGCAGCGGAAGAAAAUAACAAUCUUAAGUAGAUUUUCUCAUGUUUAAAAUUUAUUUACGUGUCAAAAAUAGGAUUUAAGACGUACCGGGUGAAGAGAGUUUCUUUACCGAAAUUUCUUCGAUAGUGCGAAGUCUCUAUGCGUAUCCACACCGAGACCGAUCCUUGCUAUCAACCUUUUGAUAAAUGAAACCCGCGAACAAAUUGAACGGAAAUAUUAUGCUAAUUGAACGGAAAUAUUAUGCUAAAGUUUUUCUCAAAAACUGUAGCUAAAACGUGAAAGACCAAGAAAAUUAAUUCUCUUGUCAAGAGUAUUUUUUUUUCUCUUACUCUCACGUUUUCUUUCUCUCUUCUGUGUAUAUCUCUCAAUUUUUUUCUUGUCAAUCUUCUUAAGGAUAUGUGUAUAUAUAUACACAUAUUGAGUCAAAAAAGGAAGAAAAGUAGUUGGAGAUUCUACCAACUUAAAUACAAUUCUAUUUAGAAUUGUAUAGCC
rnacentral:lncRNA from 1 species